CUACGAGGGGCUCCAGUGGGGAAUAUUGCGCAAUGGGCGAAAGCCUGAUGCAGCAACGCCGUGUGAGGGAUGAAGGCUUUCGGGUCGUAAACCUCUGUCAGAAGGGAAGAACGGGUAUUGGUCUAAUAGGCCUUUAUUUUGACGGUACCUUCAGAGGAAGCACCGGCUAACUCCGUGCCAGCAGCCGCGGUAAUACGGAGGGUGCAAGCGUUAUUCGGAAUUACUGGGCGUAAAGCGCACGUAGGCCGCUUUGUAAGUCAGGGGUGAAAUCCCACGGCUCAACCGUGGAACUGCCUUUGAAACUGCAGAGCUUGAAUCCUGGAGAGGGUGGCGGAAUUCCUGGUGUAGGAGUGAAAUCCGUAGAUAUCAGGAGGAACACCGGUGGCGAAGGCGGCCACCUGGACAGGUAUUGACGCUGAGGUGCGAAAGUGUGGGGAGCAAACAGGAUUAGAUACCCCCGUAGUC
rnacentral:rRNA from 1 species